GACGAUGUCAGCCAUUUGGCUGAGGAGUUCCAUUUGUCCCGAUUUAAUGUCUUGCAGCGUGGCCGUUAGAUUCAUUUCUUCAUCCAAACUGAGAGCAUCCUGGUCACAGUCAUAAGAAGCCACGGUUGGGUAGCUAGUUGAGUAUGAGUGCUGGGUCUUACAUUUCUGGUAAACAUUUUUAAGCGAUCGCCUGAUCUUGUGGAGAUUCGAAACCCACACACGCCCAGCAGCAGCUCUUACUCUUUUGGUGUGAAAUCGGUACAUUUUCUUUUUCUUUCACUGAGAUACAAGACACAAAGCAAAGGGAAGCAUGGCAGGAGUCAAGGGAAGAAACAGUUCUUUUGUGUGUGUGUGGGAUGGCCUUUCUCUUCCUAUUCGCUGGAGCUCUUUCCCGGUCACAUCAUUGAAUAUAUUCCAUGGAGAACGUCAGAGGCAGCAAUGGGCAGGGUUAGGUGGUUUAACCUCUUCUAAGGCAGCCUAACUGCAGAGCUCUGUGAAUUCACAGCCCAUGGCAUGUGAUCCUUCCAGUGGUCCUCAGGGGAUGCUGAUGUCACAAUGGCCACUGGCCUAGAACGCAGGUGAGCGUAGCACAGCAGGUUAUCAACAUUUUUUUUGUCACGGGAUGGAUUUUUUUCUCACUUGUAAAAAUGAUAGAGGACUACAGAGCUUUUGUUUAGUCCCAUCGGUAUCAUCAGACACAGCAUCUGCUACAGUUCCUCAUCCCUUUUGGGGUUCACUCCUUCCUCUCCACACUCUGAGUCACCUCUGUGGUAUAGUGAGUUGCCGUGGCUUGUCUUCCUUCUGAGAUCCUAACUGUAAACUGUUGAGCAGGGACUGUGUCCUGAACUUCAUGCAUCCACCAGGAAAAUCCGAAUCGUUGCUAUGCCAUAGAUGGAGUCCAGUAUGCGUGCUUCGGAUACCCUAAGUUAAGUGCAUGUGCGGCGCAUGUCACAAGAACGGCAUUGACAUUUAUUAUGUGUGAAAAUUACAUGUUAAGAACGGCGAGGAUCCUGAGGUCUGUCUUGUCUCUGAAAUGAAGGAGCCGGGAGGCCUUUGAGGAAGCUUUUAAAUAAAGAUGGUGGGCUCACACAUUGAAGUAAGAGUUCCCAGAAAAGAC